ensembl:lncRNA
CUGAAGAGGAAGUGCCGGAGUGGAGAGUUAUGUAAGGAGAAUAGAAUGAAUUCAGAGUGAGGAGAAACCUGGUUUUGAAAUUUGCCUCUGACAUUCAUUAGCUAUAUGACCCUGGAUGGGCAGCUAGUUAGCACUGAGGAUUUUGAAUUUUAGAUUUACUCCGCCCUGCUUAGUCUUUAGAAUUUUAGCAACCAGGAAUGUAUACACCUCCACUUAAGGAUUAACUGUGGGGGAGGAAGUCUAUGACCCGAGUGUGCUAGCAAAUGACAAAUCAGAAACAAAUGACUGACCCCCUUGGCUGUUCAAAGCCAAGUUUAAGACACCAUUGGUACAUGUGAGACACAGGAAGUGAUGUAAAGAACUGCCUUUAUAUUUCAUGUCACUUCCUGUGAGGGGGGCUGUUGUGACUUUUGAGGCUUUGACAGUAGAAUUUGACUUGGAGGAGCUCUGAAGAAUGGUCUAGGUGAGAUGGCUUCCCUGAAAGGCCAUGUGUCUCUCGGUAACCGAGGAUGACGAUUGUUUUUGAGCGUUUUUGUGCACAAAGACACUUGUGCAUGAAGAUUUAAGUGGAAAAGUCGAUGCACAGAAACAGUCCCACUCUCUCGGCGUUGGAAGCCUGAGUCCAGUGGCAUGAAAAGUCGUUCCACCUGGAGACUUCCUCAGCUGCAUUGGAUGGCCGUGUUGUCCUUUGUGCUCCAGCACGCCCUAAGCACUCCACAGUGCUUUGCUGCAUCGCCAUCUCAGCCGUUGAACCUUCUUGUUGGUUUCUUCCGCCUGUUCCACCGAAACAGUCUUCACAUGCUGGGUGAGCAAAGCCCUGGUUCACCAGGGGUGGACGACCCAACGGCUACCCUCACAAGGUUUAGCCGGCCUGUCGAAGCCAUUGCCCGGGGCGUGGCCGCUGCUCAUACUAGCAGCUACUGGGAGCCACAAGUGAGAGCUGGGUGUCAGCUUCAUAGUACUUCUACACCAGUGGUGUCAAUCUCAACUGGAAAGGAUUGCUGCUACUGCCUCCAAGGAUUCCUAUGGGCUGCAUAUUGACUCAGUUUGAAUAUAUAGUCUUAUCUAUGUUUUAUUGUAUUUUUAUUUAUUUCAUUAAAUAGUUCCCAAUUAUGUUUUAAUCUGGUUUGGGCCACUCAUUUUCAGGCCAUAUAGACUAUAUAUUUGAUACCUCUGACCACAACAUAAGGAGAGGAACUAUAGUUUUGCUGAUAUUAAUAAUUAAUAAUUUUGUUGCUGUUUAGUCAUUUCCAGUCAUGUAUGACUCUUCAUCACUCCAUUUGGGGUUUCCUCGGCAAAGAAACUGAAGUACACCAUUUCAUUUUCCAGUUAUUUUACAGAUGAGAAACUGAGGCAAACACGGUUAAUUGACUUGCUCAGGGUCACAGAGCUAGAAAGUGUCUGAGGCCAGAUUUGAACUCAAAAAGAUGUCAUCCUAACUCCAGAUGCGUAGCAUUCUAUUAAAAAAAAUUAGCUACCUAAUUAACAUUUACAUAGAGCUUACUAUAUGCCAUGCUAUGAUAGAUAAUUUAUAAUUAUUAUUUCACUUGAUCCUCACAACUUUGGGAGAUAGGUGCUAUUAUUCCUGUUCUCCCCCCUCCAUUUUACAGAAGAGAAGACUGUUAGGCAAAUUACCUGAAGUUACUUGCUUACAGUAGGGCCCAAAUGUCCUUUCUCCUGGGACCUGUAAUAAAAAGGGUAAUCUUUGUGGCUAUUACUGGUUG